GACGAACGCUGGCGGCGUGCCUAAUACAUGCAAGUUGAGCGCUGAAGGUUGGUACUUGUACCAACUGGAUGAGCAGCGAACGGGUGAGUAACGCGUGGGGAAUCUGCCUUUGAGCGGGGGACAACAUUUGGAAACGAAUGCUAAUACCGCAUAAAAACUUUAAACACAAGUUUUAAGUUUGAAAGAUGCAAUUGCAUCACUCAAAGAUGAUCCCGCGUUGUAUUAGCUAGUUGGUGAGGUAAAGGCUCACCAAGGCGAUGAUACAUAGCCGACCUGAGAGGGUGAUCGGCCACAUUGGGAAUGAGACACGGCCCAAACUCCUACGGGAGGCAGCAGUAGGGAAUCUUCGGCGAUGGACGAAAGUCUGACCGAGCAACGCCGCGUGAGUGAAGAAGGUUUUCGGAUCGUAAAACUCUGUUGGUAGAGAAGAACGUUGGUGAGAGUGGAAAGCUCAUCAAGUGACGGUAACUACCCAGAAAGGGACGGCUAACUACGUG
rnacentral:rRNA from 1 species